GUAGUAUUCCCUCCGUCCCAAAAUUCUUGUCUUACAUUUGUCUAGAUACAGAUGUAUCUAGUACUAGAUACAUCCGUAUUUAGACAAAUUUAAGACAAGAAUUUUGGGACAGAGGGAGUACAAA
rnacentral:pre_miRNA from 1 species